rnacentral:rRNA from 1 species
UACGUAGGGGGGCAAGCGUUGUCCGGAUUCAUUGGGCGUAAAGAGCGUGUAGGCGGCCAGGUAGGUCGGUUGUGAAAACUGGAGGCUCAACCUUCAGAGGUCGACCGAAACCAUCUGGCUAGAGUCCGGGGAGAGGAGAGUGGAAUUCCCGGUGUAGCGGUGAAAUGCGCAGAUAUCAGGAGGAACACCGGUGGCGAAGGCGGUUCUCUGGGCAUUACCUGACGCUGAGGAGCGAAAGUGUGGGGAGCGAACAGG